AAAAGAGGCAAAAGACAUUCAUCCCCUGCCCUCAUCCUUGCUUACCAUCUAUAUUUCCUUCUUGUCUGUGUCCCUUUUUGUACUUCUUUCUGGUUUCUUCUGGGCAUUUAAACGUAUUCACUGGUGCAUUUUUUUCAUCAUACUUACCCAUAAUCCCCCAUUAACACUCCCCCUUCCUCCAAUAAUAUAUGUGUGAGAGAAACACAGAGAGAGAAAGAGACAGAGAUAAGAAAGUGACAAAGAUAAGAAGAGACAGAGAGAAAGAAUUAGUAACUAGAGAGAAAGGAGGAAUCAGGAAAGGCAAUGGAACAUCAAAGAAAUUGUAUAAAAAUGUAUGUCAAGAGAAGGAGUAGUUAGAGCCAGCUCUCUGGAGGGAGGAGGAAAGGGAGAGAGAGAGAAACAGUCUGGAUAUUAUGACUUUGGAAAAUCUCUUAUGUAGGCAUCCUUCAGAUGUUAUCUCAGUGAGAAGACAGGAAAAGAAAGAAGAGUGGAGACAUGUAAGGAGGAGAGUAAAGGGGUCCAUUUAUAGAGGCAGUCAGAACCCAAACCAAGGACUGACCAGGCAAUCAGGCUUGUACCUGAAUUACAAAGGGGACUAAGGAGGAAGUCAUUCUUUAUUAUUGUCUGGCACCAUUUAACAUGUUGGGGCUGACGGGACCGCGAACUCAAAAGAGUCUGGAGACUUUCCUUGUACCUGGUGAGCUCCAUUUCCAUUUCUGCUAUGAUAUCUUGUUCAGUCAUUUUUCAGUCCUGCCUAACUCUUCAUGACCCCAUUUGGGGAUUUCUUGGCAAGUAUUUUAGGGGUUUGUCAUUUCUUUCUCCAGUUCAUUCUACAGAUGAGGAAACUGCAGC
rnacentral:lncRNA from 1 species